UACAGGGGGUGCAAGCGUUAAUCGGAAUUACUGGGCGUAAAGCGUGCGCAGGCGGUGAUGUAAGACAGGUGUGAAAUCCCCGGGCUUAACCUGGGAACUGCAUUUGUGACUGCAUCGCUGGAGUGCGGCAGAGGGGGAUGGAAUUCCGCGUGUAGCAGUGAAAUGCGUAGAUAUGCGGAGGAACACCGAUGGCGAAGGCAAUCCCCUGGGCCUGCACUGGACGCUCAUGCACGAAAGCGUGGGGAGCAAACAGGAUUGAGAUACCCCG
rnacentral:rRNA from 1 species